UACGUAGGUGGCAAGCGUUGUCCGGAAUUAUUGGGCGUAAAGCGCGCGCAGGCGGUCCUUUAAGUCUGAUGUGAAAGUCCACGGCUCAACCGUGGAGGGUCAUUGGAAACUGGAGGACUUGAGUACAGAAGAGGAAAGCGGAAUUCCACGUGUAGCGGUGAAAUGCGUAGAGAUGUGGAGGAACACCAGUGGCGAAGGCGGCUUUCUGGUCUGUAACUGACGCUGAGGCGCGAAAGCGUGGGGAGCAAACAGG
rnacentral:rRNA from 1 species